AUGUCGGGGCGUUCGGUCGACCCGGUGUCGUAGCUAACGUGUUAAGUAUCCCGCCUGGGGACUACGGUCGCAAGACUGAAACUCAAAGGAAUUGACGGGGGCCCGCACCAGCGGUGGAACAUGUGGUUUAAUUCGAUGCAACGCGAAGAACCUUACCUGGGCUUGACAUAUAUAUGGCGUAUGUAAGAAAUUAUGUAUUCUGCCUGCUUUUGCAGGUAGCAUAUAUACAGGUGAUGCAUGGCUGUCGUCAGCUCGUGUCGUGAGAUGUAGGGUUAAGUCCCUUAACGAGCGCAACCCUUGCUUUUAGUUGCCAUCAGGUAAUGCUGGGGACUCUAGAAGGACUGCCGAGGUUAACUCGGAGGAAGGUGGGGAUGACGUCAAGUCAGUAUGUCCCUUAUGUCCAGGGCUACACACGUGUUACAAUGGUCGGUACAGAGUGACGCUAAUCCACGAGGUGGCGCCAAUCACUUAAAGCCGAUCCCAGUUCGGAUUGGAGUCUGCAAUUCGACU
rnacentral:rRNA from 1 species